GUGCACCAGUCGAGAAACCUCCGCAAUGCACGCAAGUGCGACGGGGGAACCCCAAGUGCCACUCUUAACGGGGUGGCUUUUCAGAAGUGUAAAAAGCUUCUGGAAUAAGGGCUGGGCAAGACCGGUGCCAGCCGCCGCGGUAACACCGGCAGCUCAAGUGGUAGCCGCUUUUAUUGGGCCUAAAGCGUCCGUAGUCGGUCUGAUAAGUCUCUGGUGAAAUCCCACAGCUUAACUGUGGGAAUUGCUGGAGAUACUAUCAUGACUCGAGGUCGGGAGAGGCUGGAGGUACUCCCAGGGUAGGGGUGAAAUCCUGUAAUCCUGGGAGGACCACCUGUGGCGAAGGCGUCCAGCUGGAACGAACCUGACGGUGAGGGACGAAAGCCAGGGGCGCGAACCGGAUUAGAUACCCAUGUAGUCC
rnacentral:rRNA from 1 species